rnacentral:rRNA from 1 species
UGCCAGCCGCCGCGGUAAUACGUAGGUGGCAAGCGUUGUCCGGAUUUACUGGGCGUAAAGAGCGCGCAGGCGGCCAGGUAAGUCGAAUGUGAAAGCCCCCGGCUCAACUGGGGAAGGUCAUUCGAUACUGCUUGGCUUGAAGAUGGGAGAGGGAAGCGGAAUUUCCGGGUGUAGCGGUGAAAUGCGUAGAUAUCCGGAGGAACACCAGUGGCGAAGGCGACUUCCUGGGCCAAUACUGACGCUGAGGUGCGAAAGCGUGGGGAGCAAACAGGAUUAGAUA